UGACCCAAGGACACUUGAACCUUGGGAGGGGCUCUUUCCUUGCAAGUCAGAUUUCAUUUCACAGAUUCCUCUCUCUCUAGAACAGAAACCUUGCCCUAACUCAAGUGCUCUGACUUCUCUCUAGGUUUCCAGCCAUUUCCACCGAUUGAAUCCUAAUUUGGUGGUGUUUUCUUGUUCCUGGAAUCAAGAGCUACGAAACCAUCCGAUUGGUUUUGCGUUCCAGCGGGUUCUGUACAGUUUCGCACGGUGUAGGGGGUACUGUUAGAGCAUCUGUGAACUGUGUUGAGCAACCCAUCAGAGGCGGAUGAGGUGCCUCUGGAGCAGGCUUUGGAGGAAGACGAUGUUGCUGCUUAGUCUCCUUAGGGUUCUAUUAUUGUUUUUUUUGUAUUUGGAAUUACUAUUCAGUUGUUAUGAAUCCACCUGUGAUUCCCACCCUUUUGAAAUACUCCAUUUGCUUAAGUUCUAAAUUUUGUCUGGUUUUGGGAUGAUUGUAAGCUUAACUUUAUUUACAAUCUACUUUAACUGUUCUCUCUUAUUUAAAUGUGG